AUUGAACGCUGGCGGAAUGCUUUACACAUGCAAGUCGAACGGUAGAGGGGGCAACCCCUCGAGAGUGGCGAACGGGUGAGUAAUAUAUCGGAACGUGCCCAGUCGUGGGGGAUAACGUAGCGAAAGUUACGCUAAUACCGCAUACGAUCUAUGGAUGGAAGCGGGGGAUCGCAAGACCUCGCGCGAUUGGAGCGGCCGAUAUCAGAUUAGGUAGUUGGUGGGGUAAAGGCCCACCAAGCCAACGAUCUGUAGCUGGUCUGAGAGGACGACCAGCCAAACUGGAACUGAGACACGGUCCAGACUCCUACGGGAGGCAGCAGUGGGGAAUUUUGGACAAUGGGCGAAAGCCUGAUCCAGCCAUUCCGCGUGCAGGAUGAAGGCCCUCGGGUUGUAAACUGCUGUUGUACAGAACGAAAAGGUUUCUACUAAUACUAGGAGCUCAUGACGGUACUGUAAGAAUAAGCACCGGCUAACUACGUGCCAGCCGCCGCAGUAA
rnacentral:rRNA from 1 species